rnacentral:rRNA from 1 species
CGUGUAGGCGGUUGGGUAAGUCAGAUGUGAAAGCCUUCUGCUUAACAGAAGAAGUGCAUUUGAAACUGCUCGGCUAGAGUACGGGAGAGGAGAGUGGAAUUCCCGGUGUAGAGGUGAAAUUCGUAGAUAUCGGGAGGAACACCAGUGGCGAAGGCGGCUCUCUGGUCCGAUACUGACGCUGAGACGCGAAAGCGUGGGGAGCAAACAGGAUUAGAUACCCUGGUAGUCCACGCCGUAAACGAUGGGCACUAGGGUGUAGGAGGUAUUCGACCCCUUCUGUGCCGAAGCUAACGCAUUAAGUGCCCCGCUGGGGAUACGGCCGCAAGGCUAAA